rnacentral:rRNA from 1 species
GACGAACGCUGGCGGCGUGCCUAAUACAUGCAAGUCGAACGCUGAAGGCGGGGCUUGCUUCUCUGGAUGAGUUGCGAACGGGUGAGUAACGCGUAGGUAACCUGCCUUGGAGCGGGGGAUAACUAUUGGAAACGAUAGCUAAUACCGCAUAACAGUAGAUGUCGCAUGAUAUGUACUUGAAAGUUUCAAUUGCUGCGCUACCAGAUGGGGCUGCGUAGUAUUGGCUAGUUGGUGUGGCAACGGAUCACCAAGGCGAUGAAACAUAUCGGACGGGCGAUGGGGGGUGGCCACCCUGGGACGGAGACCCGGCCCAGAGUCAUUGGGGAGGCAGCAGUAGGGAAACUGCGGCAAUGGACGGAAGUCUGAGCGAGCAGGGCCGCGGGAGUGAGGAAGGUUUCCGGAUCGUAAAGCUCUGUUGUAAGGGAAGAACGAGUGUGAGAGUGGAAAGUUCACACUGUGACGGUAUUUGACCAGAAAGGGACGGCUAACUACGUG